UACGUAGGGGGCUAGCGUUGUCCGGAAUCAUUGGGCGUAAAGCGCGUGUAGGCGGUCCGGUAAGUCCGCUGUGAAAGUCGGGGGCUCAACCCUCGGAUGCCGGUGGAUACUGUCGGGCUUGAGUACGGAAGAGGAGUGUGGAAUUCCUGGUGUAGCGGUGAAAUGCGCAGAUAUCAGGAGGAACACCAAUGGCGAAGGCAGCACUCUGGGACGUGACUGACGCUGAGACGCGAAAGCGUGGGGAGCAAACAGG
rnacentral:rRNA from 1 species